CAUAUGACUACUGGCAGGAUCAACCAGGUAGCAUUCCUUAUCGACAUCGAGAACGUAUGAGACAAGCCACAAGGACUCGUUCAACACGUGCAUGAUGGUCGUUCGGAUAAGGCGUGGGAUGCUCGAUUCGGGGAUAAAAAAAAGGUCAAAGCCCUUGUUCCCGCUCUAUGWUCCAUACCCGAGAUUCCACGCACAACAUCAUGGGCCCACAUCCGAAACACUCGUAAGUGGUUCAAGACGAGGAACACAAUGUGCACUACAAAGUCCACCCGAUGCCGCAUCCCCAAAGGGAGCAACACUAGAUAGAUUAUCGAAGAUUCCAACAAAUGAAUGCCAUCAACGUAGGAAUACAGCACAUGAAACUAAAGGGGCGAGGCAUGCUCAAUCCAAUAACCGAAGCGGGAUGCACAACACUUUGUCGCUGCCUUAGCAGGGAACCAAYGUGCCGAAACAAGCCAAUCACCACUCA
rnacentral:misc_RNA from 1 species